rnacentral:rRNA from 1 species
AUGAACGCUAGCUACAGGCUUAACACAUGCAAGUCGAGGGGCAGCAUGGUCUUAGCUUGCUAAGGCCGAUGGCGACCGGCGCACGGGUGAGUAACACGUAUCCAACCUGCCGUCUACUCUUGGACAGCCUUCUGAAAGGAAGAUUAAUACAAGAUGGCAUCAUGAGUCCGCAUGUUCACAUGAUUAAAGGUAUUCCGGUAGACGAUGGGGAUGCGUUCCAUUAGAUAGUAGGCGGGGUAACGGCCCACCUAGUCUUCGAUGGAUAGGGGUUCUGAGAGGAAGGUCCCCCACAUUGGAACUGAGACACGGUCCAAACUCCUACGGGAGGCAGCAGUGAGGAAUAUUGGUCAAUGGGCGAGAGCCUGAACCAGCCAAGUAGCGUGAAGGAUGACUGCCCUAUGGGUUGUAAACUUCUUUUAUAAAGGAAUAAAGUCGGGUAUGGAUACCCGUUUGCAUGUACUUUAUGAAUAAGGAUCGGCUAACUCCGUGCCAGCAGCCGCGGUAAUACGGAGGAUCCGAGCGUUAUCCGGAUUUAUUGGGUUUAAAGGGAGCGUAGAUGGAUGUUUAAGUCAGUUGUGAAAGUUUGCGGCUCAACCGUAAAAUUGCAGUUGAUACUGGAUAUCUUGAGUGCAGUUGAGGCAGGCGGAAUUCGUGGUGUAGCGGUGAAAUGCUUAGAUAUCACGAAGAACUCCGAUUGCGAAGGCAGCCUGCUAAGCUGCAACUGACAUUGAGGCUCGAAAGUGUGGGUAUCAAACAGGAUUAGAUACCCUGGUAGUCCACACGGUAAACGAUGAAUACUCGCUGUUUGCGAUAUACUGCAAGCGGCCAAGCGAAAGCGUUAAGUAUUCCACCUGGGGAGUACGCCGGCAACGGUGAAACUCAAAGGAAUUGACGGGGGCCCGCACAAGCGGUGGAGUAUGUGGUUUAAUUCGAAGCAACGCGAAGAACCUUACCUGAUCUUGACAUCCCGAUGACCGCUUCGUAAUGGAAGCUUUUCUUCGGAACAUCGGUGACAGGUGGUGCAUGGUUGUCGUCAGCUCGUGUCGUGAGAUGUUGGGUUAAGUCCCGCAACGAGCGCAACCCUUGUUGUCAGUUACUAACAGGUUCUGCUGAGGACUCUGACAAGACUGCCAUCGUAAGAUGUGAGGAAGGUGGGGAUGACGUCAAAUCAGCACGGCCCUUACGUCCGGGGCUACACACGUGUUACAAUGGGGGGUACAGAGGGCCGCUACCACGCGAGUGGAUGCCAAUCCCAAAAACCUCUCUCAGUUCGGACUGGAGUCUGCAACCCGACUCCACGAAGCUGGAUUCGCUAGUAAUCGCGCAUCAGCCACGGCGCGGUGAAUACGUUCCCGGGCCUUGUACACACCGCCCGUCAAGCCAUGGGAGCCGGGGGUACCUGAAGUGCGUAACCGCGAGGAGCGCCCUAGGGUAAAACUGGUGACUGGGGCU